GAUGAACGCUAGCGAUAGGCUUAACACAUGCAAGUCGAGGGGCAGCAUGGUCUUAGCUUGCUAAGACUGAUGGCGACCGGCGCACGGGUGCGUAACGCGUAUGCAACUUGCCUCACAGAGGGGGAUAACCCGUCGAAAGACGGACUAAUACCGCGUACACUCCAUCUUGGGCAUCCAAGCUAGAGGAAAAGAAAUUCGCUGUGAGAUAGGCAUGCGUCCCAUUAGCUAGUUGGUGAGGUAACGGCUCACCAAGGCGACGAUGGGUAGGGGAACUGAGAGGUUGAACCCCCACACUGGUACUGAGACACGGACCAGACUCCUACGGGAGGCAGCAGUGAGGAAUAUUGGUCAAUGGGCGAGAGCCUGAACCAGCCAAGUCGCGUGAAGGAUGACUGUCUUAUGGAUUGUAAACUUCUUUUAUACGGGAAUAACAAGAGUCACGUGUGACUCCCUGCAUGUACCGUAUGAAUAAGCAUCGGCUAACUCCGUGCCAGCAGCCGCGGUAAUACGGAGGAUGCGAGCGUUAUCCGGAUUUAUUGGGUUUAAAGGGUGCGUAGGCGGCCUGUUAAGUCAGCGGUGAAAUCUAGGAGCUUAACUCCUAAAUUGCCAUUGAUACUGGCGGGCUUGAGUGUAGAUGAGGUAGGCGGAAUGCGUGGUGUAGCGGUGGAAUGCAUAGAUAUCACGCAGAACUCCGGUUGCGAAGGCAGCUUACUAAUGUACAACUGACGCUGAAGCACGAAAGCGUGGGUAUCAAACAGG
rnacentral:rRNA from 1 species